rnacentral:lncRNA from 10 species
GGUCGGGCUGGUCUUGAACUCCAGACCUCAGGUGAUCUGCCUGCCUCGGCCUCCCAAAGUGCUGGGAUUACAGGCAUGAGCCACCGUGCCCAGCCUUUAAUGCCAUUUUUAAAAUGCCUUUCCCCAAAAUGAUUCCUCUUCAACUUACCUCUCUGCUUCAGAUGAGCCAAUUGUGAUUCAUUUGUUCAUUAAUUCAUCAGGUUUAAAAACAUGAACUAUGGGAUGCCUAUGGUAGCAUCGGGCAAGCUGAUGGUUACAGAGGGCAGUGGCCACCGUUCAGGGGACUGCAGCGUCCUGGGAGAGAGACUCGGGAAGACCAGGAGAUGGCGACGCAUGGGAAAGGCUCUGCUGGAGGAAAAUUCGUUUCCAAGACUCACACUAAGAGCCACAGACACCAGAGUGAAAGCCCAAGCCCUGAUUUGCCAAACCAGUUGAGACGUAGAAUAUUACCUUCUCCAAAUCAUUGGGAGCGCAGUCUUUCCUCAAAAGCAACCGAGAUUUUCAAGAAACCACUUUUUAUAAUUUGACUCUGACAUUGUAAAAUGGUUAUUUUUAAAGUAAAAUCAAUUUUUAGUGAGUAUUUGCGUUGCCAGACACAUCAGAUUGUUUCUUGGUUUUAGUUUCUUCUUCUUUUUAGUGUAUAAAAUGCAGGUUAAAUAGAUCUAAAGUAUGUGAAAUGUGAUGCUCACUAGCUGUUACAAAAUCCAAGUAUUAUUUUAUUUUAUUUUAUUACAGAGUGAAAAGGUAAGUUAAAAAUCUAGUUAAUGCCUGGCCUGAUUUGAUAUGCUGAGAUAAUCCUUUUUUUUUUUUUUUUUUUUUUUUGCAAUAGGG